rnacentral:siRNA from 1 species
UAUUGAGGCCACCGUUGAUCGU